rnacentral:rRNA from 1 species
UACGAAGGGGGCUAGCGUUGCUCGGAAUCACUGGGCGUAAAGGGUGCGUAGGCGGGUCUUUAAGUCAGGGGUGAAAUCCUGGAGCUCAACUCCAGAACUGCCUUUGAUACUGAAGAUCUUGAGUUCGGGAGAGGUGAGUGGAACUGCGAGUGUAGAGGUGAAAUUCGUAGAUAUUCGCAAGAACACCAGUGGCGAAGGCGGCCUCACUGGCCCGGUACUGACGCUGAGGCACGAAAGCGUGGGAGCAACAGGGAUUAAGAUACCCCUGA